rnacentral:rRNA from 1 species
GGGCCCGCACAAGCAGUGGAGUAUGUGGUUUAAUUCGAAGCAACGCGAAGAACCUUACCAGGUCUUGACAUCUACCGAAUCUGCCAGAGAUGGCGGAGUGCCUUUCGGGGAACGGUAAGACAGGUGGUGCAUGGUUGUCGUCAGCUCGUGUCGUGAGAUGUUGGGUUAAGUCCCGCAACGAGCGCAACCCUUGUGAUUAGUUGCUACGCAAGAGCACUCUAAUCAGACUGCCGUUGACAAAACGGAGGAAGGUGGGGACGACGUCAAAUCAUCAUGCCCCUUAUGACCUGGGCUACACACGUACUACAAUGGCCAUUAACAGAGGGAAGCAAAACCGCGAGGCAGAGCAAACCCCCAAAAAUGGUCUCAGUUCGGAUCGCAGGCUGAAACCCGCCUGCGUGAAGCUGGAAUUGCUAGUAAUCGCGGAUCAUCAUGCCGCGGUGAAUACGUUCCCGGGCCUUGUACACACCGCCCGUCACACCAUGGGAGCCGGUAAUACCCG